GGUGCUCACUGCCCGAAGUCGUCCAGAGGAUCGUCCGCGUCGAUCCCGCACAAUGAGUCUGGGACUCGCUGGGGGCCUUCCUCGAGGUAAGCAGAUUCAUCUUCCUUUCGCUUCUUCAUUUAAUUAACUUCUCAGCUUCCAUUCUGACCCUCCGAUCGUCCUUGCAGCUCGGACACCAACUCCUCACCAACAUCGAGAUGACAA
rnacentral:lncRNA from 1 species